rnacentral:rRNA from 1 species
AUGGGCGCCGACGAGGCGGGGCCGGGCGGCGGCGGCGGGAUCCGGGUGCUCCUGCGGCGGAAGCAGGUGGACUCCGACCGGGCCCGCGCCGCCGGCGGCCAGCAGCUCGCCAAGGAGCUCUCCAUCACGCAGCUCAUCGCUAUCGGCGUCGGUUCGACGGUUGGAGCCGGAGUCUACGUUCUCGUGGGGACGGUUGCCCGGGAGCACUCUGGCCCGGCACUGACGCUCUCGUUUCUGAUCGCCGGAAUAGCGGCUGCGCUUUCCGCUUUCUGUUACGCGGAGCUUGCUAGCCGCUGCCCUUCCGCGGGAAGCGCCUACCACUACUCGUACAUCUGCGUUGGCGAAGGGGUUGCAUGGUUGAUCGGCUGGGCUCUCAUACUGGAGUAUACAAUUGGCGGAUCAGCCGUUGCCCGCGGCAUAUCACCCAAUCUAGCGUUAUUUUUUGGAGGACCAAAUAGUCUGCCAUGGAUUCUAGCACGCCAUGAGCUCCCAUGGUUAGAUGUUGUUGUUGAUCCUUGUGCUGCUGCCUUGGUUUUCCUUGUCACUGCCCUGUUAUGCGUCGGGAUAAAAGAGAGUACAUUCGUGCAAGGAAUUGUGACAGUCCUGAACUGCUGCGUGAUGCUAUUUGUUAUUAUAGCCGGCAGUUACAUUGGAUUCCAAACAGGAUGGGUCGGCUACAAGGUGUCUGGCGGAUUUCUGCCAUAUGGGGUGAAUGGAAUGCUUGCUGGAUCAGCGACAGUUUUCUUUGCCUACAUAGGCUUUGAUUCAGUUGCGAGCACCGCUGAGGAGGUGAGGAAUCCACAACGGGAUCUGCCGCUGGGAAUAGCCACGUCAUUGACGAUUUGCUGUUCCUUGUAUAUGCUGGUUUCAGUUGUUAUUGUCGGUCUGGUGCCAUACUUUGCUAUGGACCCAGAUACCCCUAUUUCAUCCGCCUUCGCGAGGCAUGGGAUGCAGUGGGCAAUGUACCUUGUAACAUCUGGUGCCGUUCUCGCUCUCUGCUCAACCUUGAUGGGAUCACUUCUGCCACAGCCAAGGAUAUUGAUGGCCAUGGCGAGAGAUGGGCUGUUGCCAUCCUUCUUCUCUGAUGUUAGCGAAAAGACACAAGUUCCUGUCAAGAGCACAAUCAUAACUGGCAUCUGCGCGGCUUCUCUGGCUUUCUUCAUGGAUGUUUCACAACUAGCAGGAAUGGUCAGUGUAGGCACGCUCCUCGCGUUCACCAUAGUCGCCGUCUCCAUUUUGAUCCUCAGAUAUGUUCCUCCAGAUGAGGUACCCCUGCCAUCCUCUCUGCAAACGUCGUUCCGCUUAAGCCAAGAAUGUGAUGAGGAAAAGGUGGGGAGUCCUCUUGGAGAUGGGAACCAUGAACAGGGGACGUCUGAGAUUAAGGAUGUGAUCGUAGUAGAAUCAAUCAAUGACCCUCUUAUUGAGAAGCAGCUAUAUGCAAACAAAUUGGAUGAGUUAAACCGGCGGAAAACCGCUGCUCGCAGCAUAGCAUCUGUAUGCGUAGGGGUGCUAAUCCUGACGGCUUCAGCUUCUGUAACGUUCCUGCCAUUCCUGGUGAUGUGCUUAUUCUGCGUGUUUGGUGGCCUGCUCCUCCUAGCUGGUCUCGGAAUGCUCUCCUGGAUCGACCAGGACGACGGAAGGCACUCAUUUGGUCACUCUGGAGGAUUCAUCUGCCCGUUUGUUCCGCUGCUGCCGGUGAUGUGCAUUCUCAUAAACACAUACUUGCUCAUAAAUCUAGGGGGUGGCACGUGGAUGCGGGUCGGGGUAUGGCUGGUGAUGGGGGUCUUCGUGUACAUUUUCUACGGCCGGACCCACAGCUUGCUGACGGAUGUCGUGUACGUCUCCCUGGCUCAGGCAAACGAGAUAUACGGUUCUUCCUCUUCGUCAGCGUUUGUGGCCUAG